rnacentral:rRNA from 1 species
AGGCAGCAGUAGGGAAUUUUCGUCAAUGGGCGCAAGCCUGAACGAGCGAUGCCGCGUGAGUGAAGAAGGCCUUCGGGUCGUAAAGCUCUGUUGCGGGGGAAAAAGGCAGCAUCAGGAAAUGGGUGCUGACUGAUGGUGCCCCGCCAGAAAGUCACGGCUAACUACGUGCC